rnacentral:rRNA from 1 species
GUGACAAACCGGAGGAAGGUGGGGAUGACGUCAAGUCCUCAUGGCCCUUAU